rnacentral:rRNA from 1 species
UACAGAGGGGGCAAGCGUUGUUCGGAAUUACUGGGCGUAAAGGGCGCGUAGGCGGCCUGUUAAGUCGAACGUGAAAUCCCCGGGCUCAACCCGGGAACUGCGUCCGAUACUGGCAGGCUUGAAUCCGGGAGAGGGAUGCGGAAUUCCAGGUGUAGCGGUGAAAUGCGUAGAUAUCAGGAAGAACACCAAUGGCGAAGGCAGCUCUCUGGGACGGUACUGACGCUGAGACGCGAAAGCGUGGGGAGCGAACAGG